UCAACCACGUCCACAAUCCUCUUUUUUUCAACUUUACCUGUCACACGUCUAGAUUAAACAAAGUUAAGGUUUACGUUAAAAGAAAAAAAAAAUUAAUACUAAUAUGGGCUGAACUAAUGGGCUAUGUGCCCAACAGAUAAGAAUCUCUAAUGGAAUUAUAUCUGUUGUUAGAUUUGAAGAAAAAAAACUCAUGCAACUUCAGAAUUAGAUCACUCAUCGUCGGAUGAUUCUGAGCAAUUCAGUAGUCAGAUCUCAGGAAGUCUUAUCCGG
rnacentral:lncRNA from 1 species